ACUUACGGCCAUACCAUCCUGAAUACGCCCGAUCUCGUCUGAUCUCGGAAGCUAAGCAGGGUCGGGCCUGGUUAGUACUUGGAUGGGAGACCAAAUGGGAAUACCAGGUGCUGUAAGUG
rnacentral:rRNA from 1 species